GCCCAAGUGGCGGAAUUGGUAGACGCGCAACGUUCAGGUCGUUGUGUUCGUAAGAACGUGGAGGUUCAAGUCCUCUCUUGGGCA
rnacentral:tRNA from 1 species